rnacentral:lncRNA from 1 species
CAGAGUUCUAAUCAUGGACUCUAUGGAUUCGGAUCCAAAGCGUUGGGCCGACAUGAGAAAAAUGCUGCAAAAAUAAUUAUUUUCAAUCAUUUGAGCUCUAUAUCGAUCGGUCUCUUUCGUUCAUUUCCUAAUAUCAAGUAACUAAUAACUUCCUUAUUCAUUUAAUUUUCUUUGCCCUGUAGGGUUUGGAGACGGUUCUCAGAAGAAAUUGUCGGUGAAUUCAAACAUGAGCUAGAUUUCAGAAGGUUAGUUAAUGUGGAUAAGCAGCCACCGGGGACCAAUCUAUGUGGAUACUAUGUUUGUGAGAACAUCCGGAGACACACCACGGAGCGGAAGGCAUCGGAUAGCGUGCGGAACGCGACGGAUAACUUGCGGAGGAGGCUUAGUCCAGAAGCUCGCUUCCGACCAAUUCAAGAAGAAUUAGCAGGAUUUUUCAUGAGGGAAGUCAUCAAUCCUAAAGGAGAACACUAUACCGAGGACGAAGAAAUUUAUAUGCAUACCCGAGAUUGAAACUUGUAUGAAGUUGUAUAUGGUCAUCCAUCCUAAUUGUGUAUGGAAACUUGUUCGAAGUUGUAUAUGGUCACCCGAGAUUGAAUAUAUAUUAUAUAUUCCUCUUGAAUUCUUCUUGUUUGAAAUUUCAUAUGCAUGUAUAUAGUAGCGUAAAAUAUGUGUACUGAAACUUUAUCAAAAUUAAAAUAAAACACAAAAUAUAAUAUAAAAGAAAUAAAACACUCCAAACUAAAAAGAAACCAGGUUUAGGGGGGCUAAAACCCUAAACCUGCGGAGGAGCCCUUUAGUCCCGGUUGGCCACGAGAACCGGGACUAAAGGUCCUCCGUCCCGACGGACCACGGGCGCCCACGUGGACGGGCCUUUAGUCCCGGUCAGCCACAAGAACCGGGACUAAAGCCUUUAGUCGCGGUCCGUAAGUGGCGCGACUAAAGGGGGGUCUUUAGUCGCGCAUAUUUAGUCCCGGUUGCACAGCCGGGACUAAAGGCUGUUGCGAACCGGGACUAAAGGGCUUUUUUCUACCAGUGCGCCUACAUGCCCCUGCAGAAGCAAAUAGUGCACACCGGCAUCACUGGCCUAGGAAGUGCCGCUGGCCUGCUACACAUGAGCUGCCGCUCUACUCACAUCCAGUGAUAUGUUCUUUUUAAAUAGAAGGGAUGAGAUUAAUUACAUUUUUUCAAUUAUGUAUAUUCGCACCUUGAAUUCCAGUGGUUCUUGUACUUAUUUUCGGCCGGGCUGCACUAUAAUGUUCGUAACGGAACACAAGUGAUUCUGUCAAUACCUUUACAUAAAAAUCUGGAGGGGAAUAUGAGCUGCCAACCAUCGUUCAUGUACGCUUUGACUUGAGAACCUGUUGUAGGCAAGUGAAAACUGUUUCUGAAUUUCAGAAAGGAAAUAGAAAAGAGGGUAUGCGUUAUAUACCUUCAGAGUUUGUCUUCAUCGAAAACCUUUCCAUGUGAACAACUAUGCAUUAAGAAACCGUAUUCAUAAUGCACGGACAUUCUCUUCGUAAAAUCCAUGCAUUAACCAUCAGGGAGCGCUCUUCCAUAUCCUUGCAAAAAUAGUGUGGCAGCCUUAUGUUAGCGACAACUGAAGAACACACGAAUAUUGAACAUAGCAUCCC